UGCGCAGGUGGCCAGGUGUGUGAGGCGUGAAAGCCCGGAGCUCAACUCCGGAAUUGCACCUCAAACUACAUGGCUAGAGCAUUGGAGAGGGGAGCAGAAUUCACGGUGUAGCAGUGAAAUGCGUAGAUAUCGUGAGGAAUACCAGAGGCGAAGGCGGCUCCCUGGACAAUUGCUGACACUCAGGCACGAAAGCGUGGGGAGCAAAAGGGAUUAGAUACCCCUGUAGUCCACGCCCUAAACGGUGCACACUAGGUCUUGGAGGAUUCGACCCCUUCAGGGCCCAAGCUAACGCGUUAAGUGUGCCGCCUGAGGACUACGGCCGCAAGGCUAAAA
rnacentral:rRNA from 1 species